GAUGAACGCUGGCGGCGUGCCUAAUACAUGCAAGUCGAGCGAACAGACGAGGAGCUUGCUCCUCUGACGUUAGCGGCGGACGGGUGAGUAACACGUGGAUAACCUACCUAUAAGACUGGGAUAACUUCGGGAAACCGGAGCUAAUACCGGAUAAUAUAUUGAACCGCAUGGUUCAAUAGUGAAAGACGGUUUUGCUGUCACUUAUAGAUGGAUCCGCGCCGCAUUAGCUAGUUGGUAAGGUAACGGCUUACCAAGGCAACGAUGCGUAGCCGACCUGAGAGGGUGAUCGGCCACACGGGAACCGAGACACGGGCCAGACCCCUACGGGAGGCAGCAGUAGGGAAUCUUCCGCAAUGGGCGAAAGCCUGACGGAGCAACGCCGCGUGAGUGAUGAAGGUCUUCGGAUCGUAAAACUCUGUUAUUAGGGAAGAACAAAUGUGUAAGUAACUAUGCACGUUUUGACGGUACCUAAUCAGAAAGCCACGGCUAACUACGU
rnacentral:rRNA from 1 species